rnacentral:rRNA from 1 species
UACGGGGGGGGCAAGCGUUGUUCGGAAUUACUGGGCGUAAAGGGCGCGUAGGCGGUUCGCUAAGUUGAAUGUGAAAACUCUGGGCUUAACCCAGAGCCUGCAUCCAAAACUGGCGAACUGGAGUACUGGAGGGGAAAGCGGAAUUCCUGGUGUAGAGGUGAAAUUCGUAGAUAUUCGCAAGAACACCAGUGGCGAAGGCGGCUCACUGGCCCGGUACUGACGCUGAGGUGCGAAAGCGUGGGGAGCAAACAGG